AGUGAACGCUGGCGGUAGGCCUAACACAUGCAAGUCGAACGGCAGCACAGUAAGAGCUUGCUCUUACGGGUGGCGAGUGGCGGACGGGUGAGGAAUACGUCGGAAUCUACUUUUUCGUGGGGGAUAACGUAGGGAAACUUACGCUAAUACCGCAUACGACCUACGGGUGAAAGCAGGGGAUCUUCGGACCUUGCGCGGUUGAAUGAGCCGAUGUCGGAUUAGCUAGUUGGCGGGGUAAAGGCCCACCAAGGCGACGAUCCGUAGCUGGUCUGAGAGGAUGAUCAGCCACACUGGAACUGAGACACGGUCCAGACUCCUACGGGAGGCAGCAGUGGGGAAUAUUGGACAAUGGGCGCAAGCCUGAUCCAGCCAUACCGCGUGGGUGAAGAAGGCCUUCGGGUUGUAAAGCCCUUUUGUUGGGAAAGAAAAGCAGCAGGUUAAUACCCCGCUGUUCUGACGGUACCCAAAGAAUAAGCACCGGCUAACUUCGUG
rnacentral:rRNA from 1 species